rnacentral:rRNA from 1 species
UACAUGCAAGUCGAGCGGACCGAAUAGAAGCUUGCUUCUAUUUGGUUAGCGGCGGACGGGUGAGUAACACGUGGGCAACCUGCCCUGUAGACGGGGAUAACACCGAGAAAUCGGUGCUAAUACCGGAUAACACGGAAUGUCGCAUGACGUUUCGUUGAAAGGCGGCGCAAGCUGUCGCUACAGGAUGGGCCCGCGGCGCAUUAGCUAGUUGGUGAGGUAACGGCUCACCAAGGCGACGAUGCGUAGCCGACCUGAGAGGGUGAUCGGCCACACUGGGACUGAGACACGGCCCAGACUCCUACGGGAGGCAGCAGUAGGGAAUCUUCCGCAAUGGACGAAAGUCUGACC